rnacentral:rRNA from 1 species
ACUCACUAUUGGAGUUUGAUCAUGGCUCAGAUUGAACGCUGGCGGCAUGCUUUACACAUGCAAGUCGAACGGCCGCGCGGGCUUCGGCCUGGCGGCGAGUGGCGAACGGGUGAGUAAUAUAUCGGAACGUACCCAGAAGUGGGGGAUAACGUAGCGAAAGUUACGCUAAUACCGCAUACGAUCUACAGAUGAAAGCAGGGGAUCGCAAGACCUUGUGCUUUUGGAGCGGCCGAUAUCUGAUUAGCUAGUUGGUGAGGUAAAGGCUUACCAAGGCCACGAUCAGUAGCUGGUCUGAGAGGACGACCAGCCACACUGGAACUGAGACACGGUUCAGACUCCUACGGGAGGCAGCAGUGGGGAAUUUUGGACAAUGGGCGCAAGCCUGAUCCAGCAAUGCCGCGUGAGUGAAGAAGGCCUUCGGGUUGUAAAGCUCUUUUGUCAGGGAAGAAACGGUCGUGGCUAAUAUCCAUGGCUAAUGACGGUACCUGAAGAAUAAGCACCGGCUAACUACGUGCCAGCAGCCGCGGUAAUACGUAGGGUGCAAGCGUUAAUCGGAAUCACUGGGCGUAAAGCGUGCGCAGGCGGUUUUGUAAGUCUGACGUGAAAUCCCCGGGCUCAACCUGGGAACUGCAUUUGUGACUGCACAGCUUGAGUGCGGCAGAGGGGGAUGGAAUUCCGCGUGUAGCAGUGAAAUGCGUAGAUAUGCGGAGGAACACCGAUGGCGAAGGCAAUCCCCUGGACCUGUACUGACGCUCAUGCACGAAAGCGUGGGGAGCAAACAGGAUUAGAUACCCUGGUAGUCCACGCCCUAAACGAUGUCAACUGGUUGUUGGGUCUUCACUGACUCAGUAACGAAGCUAACGCGUGAA